AAAAACACCUCUCUCUCUCUUUCUCUCUCUCUCAAACACACACACAUACACCCAAGGCAUACUUGCCUCCCCUUAUCCGAAUAACAAAGCAAGUAUUAACCCUCCUCCCACCACUUUGGGCAAAUCCCCGGGGAGGUUUGCUCUCCUUGGCACCAGGAGGGUUGGGGAAAGCACCUUCUAGGGGUGAUCCAUGGGGGGCGAGAGUGCAAGGACGAGCCCUUCUUUUUUGUAGGCUCCAGGCAGGUCCGGAGCGAAGCGGCUGGGAAGCCUAGCAGGAGACCGGGCUCGCCCCACCCGCGAUGGUGACUGGAGGAGGCUCCUCUAGGAGUCCUGGCUGCACCUCCAAGAUCUGCCUUCAGGAGAGACGCGGCCGGGGUGGACACGGCAGGAGGUGCAUUCUCAGACCUGGGGACGUUCCACUGCACAAGGACAGCGAGGGUGCUAGUUGGGGAACGCAUAGCCACCGAUCCCAGGCGCCUUGCCAAGUCGCCCGCUGAACGUCUUCUACUGGAGGCGAAUUCGGGCGCAGCGACGGGGGGCGGGGGCAACUAAGUUAUCCAGUUAAGAAACGUGCACUCGCACUGGACUCUGCUAACUGCUGACGACGGACUCCGCUUCUUGCCUGAGAGGGAGGAAGCACGAACGUUCUGUAUGUAACGAAAUGAGGACGACUGUUUCAAAGCUACUUAAAUAUUGUUGUGUUAAAGAGUAUUUACACUGAUCUCAUUGUAUCAUUUAGCUUCAAAGCUCAAAAUUCUGCUUUACUUAGAUAAGAGGGAUAGAACUACAACUCUAACUGGCUUUAGCAAUGAAGAAAAUUUCUGGUUUCACAUCCUUCAAGAGUCCAGAGGUGGCUACAGAUUCAGGAGACAUGCACCAGGAGGAACUGGCAAAUUUCCUUGGCAAGAACAGAUGAAUAAAUAAGAAGCAUGAGCUUGCGACUUUUAGCUGGGGUGAUUCGUCAAAAACCACAGCACUGUGGCUGUUUUCAGAUUUUAAGGGUUAUGUUCAACCUCAAUCAAGGGGAGUUUUGAAAGCUGUUAUAAAUCAUCAAAUAAAUUGAGGAAAAAAUUUUGGUAGAACAUGAUGUUACUUUUUCACGUAUGGCUGAAUAUAUUCACCUGAAGGUUUUUCCAAGCUAUGCUAGUGUUAGACAAUGAUGAUUACCUAUUCAUGUUUGUCUAAUGUUUUGAGUGGUGAGUGGCAUUAAGUGAGGAAUCUCAUGAUGAAUAAUUGGCUUUAAUCCUCAAGAAAGGACAAAGUAUCUGAACAAGAUACCCCUGAAGAUCGGUCACUUGUUAUAAGUACCAAGUGGUCAAGAUGGAUAAAUUGGGUUCUACAAUAUAGAUCAUAUUGGGUUUAUAAUGCCUCUGCAAUUUUUCAACAUUAUUUUGUAGAUCCAACAAUGCAUACUAUAUGUGUCUGGUUAUUUCUGUUUUCCCUUCAGAUCUCCUCUCCAUGGUUCUCCACUGUGUGCUGUGCCUGGAGAUUGGCUUUUAUGGACCACAUCAAUGAGAUUCAUUGCUUUAUGGCCUCCCACUGGAUUCAGCCAACAGGAAGUGCUGUUUAAAAACUUGGAGAGUUGGGUGGGAGAGUCAUCUCAGGAUUUUCAUUUUCCAGGCUCCCUUCCUGCUGGCUCAUUACAUACUAACUUCAUUCCUGUCCCAAAUGCUGUAGCUCCCAUCAGGGAGCCCUCUCCAGAUUCCAUUAACCUUGCGAUUCCCUUGUCUCUUUAGGCCUAACAGGAUAAUAACUCCAGUCUGU